UCUGGUUCGGAUCAUCCUCAGCUCAGCCUGACGAGCUGCCACGACUUCCACCGACUGCGUCAGCUCAGAUCAUGGACCAGUUUCUCUCUGCCUUGAGAGAAAGGGGUGUUCCUGAGGAGAACCUCAGAAGAAUGGCAGAAGACAAGAUCGAUCAAGACAUUGUACAGCUUCUUACAGAAGAGAAACUCUCCAACUACAUUCCAAGAUAUGGUGACCGUGUCUUUGCGAAGAAUUGGAAGCAGUUAUCCUCAACUGAAAGUAAAGGAGAUACAGAGCAAAAAAAAUAAACAUUAAUAAAUAGAAUAAGAGAAAAGAUGAGACUGCCAUCCACCUCAUCAGCCACAGCAUC